rnacentral:lncRNA from 1 species
CGACUUUUGGAGGUGAAAUUAACGUCAACUUAAUAUCAAUCAGCUGGCAGUUGGGAAAAAAAAAACAUUCUGUAAAAUUAAACCAAUGGAGCUUUCAAAUUGUCGACCUGUCAACCUGUAAUCCUUUCGACUUGUCAAUCUGUCAACUUUGCAAUCUGUCGACCUGUGAACAUAACCGACUUAUGUACACAUUAACUGAUUUACUACUCUAUUCUUCCAAUUGAACUACAAUCCAUAUAUUCUACUUGACCCAACAUGUG